AGGCCAUGAUGAGGGCUUUCUUAGAGUAGAUGCUUGAAUCUCUCUAUAAGUUUGGAAAAUGACUCACUAAAAUUUUACGAAAACUGAAGGAUAUCACUUCUAAGCUU